UGGAUCAAAGCCAUGAAGUCUGUCUCUCCCCCUUUCCUCUCUCUCUCCCCUUGUCAAUCUAUUUUUCUAGGACAUUGUCACGUAUACUCCCUCUCUGGCCUCUAGGUCGUCAGGCUGCUGAUUAUCCCGCACUCCUGUCACCAUCGUUUUGUGCACCAGCGCCUCAUGACACUCACCUGGACUCCAUCACCUCCUUGAUUAUCUUCCCAAUAUCUGUCACUCACCUGGACUCCUCCUUGAUUAUCUUCCCUCUAUCUGUCACUCACCUGGACUCCAUCACCUCCUUGAUUAUCUUCUCUAUAUCUGUCACUCACCUGGACUCCAUCACCUCCUUGAUUAUCUUCCCUCUAUCUGUCACCCACCUGGUCUCCAUCGCCUCCUUGAUUAUCUUUCUAUAUCUGUUCACUCACCUGGACUCCUCCUUGAUUAUCUUCCCUCUAUCUGUCACUCACCUGGUCUCCAUCGCCUCCUUGAUUAUCUUCCCUAUAUCUGUCACUCACCUGGUCUCCAUCACCUCCUUGAUUAUCUUCCCUAUAUCUGUCACUCACCUGGUCUCCAUCACCUCCUUGAUUAUCUUCCCAAUAUCUGUCACUCACCUGGUCUCCAUCACCUCCUUGAUUAUCUUCCCAAUAUCUGUCACUCACCUGGACUCCAUCACCUCCUUAAUUAUCUUCCCAAUAUCUGUCACUCACCUGGACUCCCUCACCUCCUCGAUUAUCUUCCCUAUAUCUGUCACUCACCUGGUCUCCAUCACCUCCUUGAUUAUCUUCCCUCUAUCUGUCACCCACCUGGUCUCCAUCACCUCCUUGAUUAUCUUCCCUAUAUCUGUCACUCACCUGGUCUCCAUCACCUCCUUGAUUAUCUUCCCUGUGUCGGUCCCUCACCUGGACUCCUCCUUGAUUAUCUUCCCUGUGUCGGUCCCUCCCCUUGGCUCUUUCCUCAGGUGUUAUUGACUCUGGUUUUAUGUCGGUGCGUUGUUUGUGUGUUGCGUGUUUAUUGUUGUGUUUAUUUAUAAAAACACUGACUACCUGAUUCUCAGCGCACUCGUUACAUACAUAAUCAUAAUCAUAAUCUCCAAACCAGCCUAAUCAGCCUGAACAGUCUCUUUCAAACGUGAAACAGGGUUGAAAAGGCAAUAGGACUGAAACCCCAUUCAUUAGGAAGACUAGAAAUACAAUAUUAUGAUGCAUUAAUCAUUUUCCAAUUUUAAGUCAUCUCCGAUAUUAUUGGCACCCUUGAUAAAGAUGAG
rnacentral:lncRNA from 1 species